rnacentral:rRNA from 1 species
UACGUAGGGUGCAAGCGUUAAUCGGAAUUACUGGGCGUAAAGCGUGCGCAGGCGGUUGUGCAAGACCGAUGUGAAAUCCCCGGGCUUAACCUGGGAAUGGCAUUGGUGACUGCACGGCUAGAGUGUGUCAGAGGGGGGUAGAAUUCCACGUGUAGCAGUGAAAUGCGUAGAGAUGUGGAGGAAUACCGAUGGCGAAGGCAGCCCCCUGGGAUAACACUGACGCUAAUGCACGAAAGCGUGGGGAGCAAACAGG